AUGCGCCCCAAGGCCCACUCCACCACCAACAGGAAGGUUACAGGACUUCUCACUGCCCAGAGAUGCACAAAGUCAGCUGCACAGGGAUCACCUUCCCCACGCUCUUCCCUAGGAGGCUCUGCAGGUGAGAGCUGGAGCUGGAACUUGCUAAUUCGGAUUCCACUGUCAAGGAAAUAUUCCACAUCCGUCUUGGAAUGCGCCCGCCUGCAGGCCCACGGAGCCGACAGAUGCCUCUGUGGCGGGAAGGAGGCAGGGCAGGUGAGCAUCCACGGGAAAAGCCCGCUAGAGCUCGGUGCUGGAAGAAGUCGGGGUUUGCUCCCCCAUCUUUACAGAGUAGUGGCAGAGGAGGCUGCGGGGAUUCAGAGCAGGCAGUGUUGGCUGGCACCCUCUGAGCUCCCCUAGCCUCUCCUUGUUUUAGGAUGAGGUGUCCUCGCCAUCACAUCAUGACCUGGAGAGCUCCACCUCAUCUCCAUGGAAAUCUAAGGGUGCACACGCUGGGUCACUGGACAAUCCCUCACCUCCAUAUCAGCAUGAUGCUCGUUAGCAGAAAAGCUCCUGCAUGCAUCCAAAAUAUUGAUUUUCAUCAUUUUUAUUUUUAUUUUUGACAGGCAGAGUUAGACAGUGAAAGAAAGAGACAGAGAAAGGUCUUCCUUUUUCCAUUGGCUCACCCCCCAAGUGGCCGCUACGGCCGGUGCGUUGCGGCCGGCACGCUGCGCUGAUCGAAGUCAGGAGCCAGGUGCUUUCUCCCGGUCUCCCAUGUGGGUGUAAGGCCCAAGGACUUGGGCCAUCCCACUGCCCUCCCUGGCCACAGCAGAGAGCUGGACUGGAAGAGGAGCAACCGGGACAGAACCGGUGCCCCAACUGGGACUAGAACCCGGGGUGCCGGUGCCACAGGUGGAGGAUUAGCCUAGUGAGCCGUGGCGCCGGCCUCAAAAUAUUGAUUUUUUAAACAUUUAAAAUGGCAACAGAAUAACAAGAUUCAAAUAUUUGCUUCACUUUCAGUCAUGCAUGGGUGAAAGGAACAUACAUUGGGCAUUAUUCACACUGAUCAGUUAUCCAAAAGGCCUUACAUUUGCCACAGCAUUCAAUUUUUACUUUUAGGAAAACCUUUUACUUGUACAGAAUGGGAAAACUAGGCUAUCUGAGGGUUUUUUUUUAAAGAUUUUUUUAAAAAAGAUUUAUUUAUUUACUUGAAAGUCAGAGUAACAGAGAGGAGAGGCAGAGAGAGAGAGAGAGAGAGAGACAAAGAGAGAGGUCUUCCAUCUUCUGGUUCACUUCCCAGAUGGUCGUAAUGGCUGGAGCUGUGCUGAUCUGAACUCAGGAGCCAGGAGCUUUUUCUGGGCUCCCACGUGGGUGCAGGGGCCCAAGGACUUGGGCCAUCUUCUAUUGCUUUCCCAGGCCA
rnacentral:lncRNA from 1 species